rnacentral:lncRNA from 1 species
GAAAAGAAGAUACGACAAAGCAUGCGACGGAAUGGAAAUUUCUUGACAGGUAGCUUAAAUAUCUCUAAUAUAUUAAUCUCUUGAGAAGUGAAACAAAAUCAUAUGAAACACCAUAUCCACACUUUGAACAGAUACAAUAGAAACAAGUUUAUGAUGGGAACCACAAUGAGUGAAGGCUACAAGUAAUAUUCUGUAAUAAAUUAAAUAAGCAACAACACGAUCAAAU